UGAGGAAUAUUGGUCAAUGGGCGAGAGCCUGAACCAGCCAAAUCGCGUGAAGGAAGACUGCCUUAUGGGUUGUAAACUUCUUUUAUACAGGAAUAAAAAAGGGGACGUGUCCCUUAUUGCAUGUACUGUAUGAAUAAGCAUCGGCUAACUCCGUGCCAGCAGCCGCGGUAAUACGGAGGAUGCGAGCGUUAUCCGGAUUUAUUGGGUUUAAAGGGUGCGCAGGCGGGCUUUUAAGUCAGCGGUGAAAUCUCGGGGCUUAACUCCGAAACUGCCGUUGAAACUGGGAGUCUUGAGUAUGGAUGAAGUAGGCGGAAUUCGUUGUGUAGCGGUGACAUGCUUAGAUAUAACGAGGAACUCCGAUUGCGUAGGCAGCUUACUAAGCCAUAACUGACGCUCAAGCACGAAAGCGUGGGGAUCAAACAGGAUUAGAUACCCUGGUAGUCCACGCCGUAAACGAUGAUUACUAGUUGUAUGCGAUAUACCGUAUGUGACUAAGCGAAAAGCGAUAAGUAAUCCACCUGGGGAGUACGCCGGCAACGGUGAAACUCAAAUGAAUUGACGGGGUCAUAGCUGUUUCCUG
rnacentral:rRNA from 1 species